ensembl:misc_RNA Metazoa_SRP Metazoan signal recognition particle RNA
CCUGGGCAAAAUAGUGCCUGUAGUCCCAGCUACUCGGGAGGCUGAGGUGGGAGGAUCAAUUGAGUCCAGGAGUUCUGGGCUGUAGUGUACUAUGCCGAUCAGGUAUCCGCACUAAGUUUGGCAUCAAUAUGGUGACCUCCCAGGAGCGGGGGACCACCAGGUUGCCUAAGGAGGGGUGAACCGGCCCAGGUCGGAAACAGAGCAGGACAAAACUCCUGUGCUGAUCAGUAGUGGGAUCACGCCUGUGAAUAGCCACUGCAAUCCAGCCUGGGCAACAUAGCGAGACCCUGUCUCUA